AUUGAACGCUGGCGGCAGGCCUAACACAUGCAAGUCGAGCGGAGCGUCGGACGGGUGAGUAAUGCCUAGGCAUCUGCCUGGUAGUGUUGGAUAACGUCCGGCAACGGGCGCUAAUACCUCAUACUAUCAGAUGAGCCUAGGUCGGAUAGGCUAGUUGGUGGGGUAAAGGCCUACCAAGGCGACGAUCCGUAACUGGUAUGAGAGGAUGAUCAGUCACACUGUAACGGAGACAGGGUCAAGACUCCUACGGGAGGCAGCAGUGGGGAAUAUUGCACAAGGGGGACAAGCCUGAGGCGGCCAUGCGGCGUGGAUGAAGAAGGCCUUCGGGUUGUAAAGUACUUUCAGCGGGGAGGCGUUACCCGCAGAGGAAGCACCGGCUAACUCCGUGCCAGCAGCCGCGGUAAUAC
rnacentral:rRNA from 1 species